rnacentral:misc_RNA from 1 species
UAAGUUAUGGUACUGAAACACUGUAAAAUUAUACGUUUCAGUUGAAAAGAAUACCAGGAAAGAACUUGAGGUAUCGAGUCAAGACCAAGAGGUGACUCACUUAAUGUUUGUGCACAACAUAGAAUUUUCUAUAAAUUUUCUUCUGUAAAUCAUUUUGAAUGAAUUGUAAUAUAAAUUGUGACUUAAGUUGUUGAAAGUUUACUUAUAUGUAUUUG